rnacentral:rRNA from 1 species
UACGUAGGGUGCAAGCGUUGUCCGGAAUUAUUGGGCGUAAAGAGCUCGUAGGCGGUUUGUCGCGUCGACUGUGAAAACCCGAGGCUUAACCUCGGGCCUGCAGUCGAUACGGGCAGACUAGAGUUCGGUAGGGGAGACUGGAAUUCCUGGUGUAGCGGUGAAGUGCGCAGAUAUCAGGAGGAACACCGGUGGCGAAGGCGGGUCUCUGGGCCGAUACUGACGCUGAGGAGCGAAAGCGUGGGGAGCGAACAGG